UUGUGAGGCUGAUGUGUAGGCAAAUCCGCACAUCGUAAGGCUGGGCUGUGAUGGGGAGCGAAAAUUGCAGUAGCGAAGGUCAUGAGUUCAGGCUGCCAAGAAAAGCCUCUAGCCAGGUGAAGGUGCCCGUACCGCAAACCGACACAGGUAGGCGAGCAGAGUAUGCUAAGGCGCUCGGAAGAACUCUCGUUAAGGAACUCGGCAAAAUGACCCCGUAACUUCGGGAGAAGGGGUGCCUCGGUAGGGUGAAUAGCCCGAGGGGGCCGCAGUGAAAAGGCCCAAGCGACUGUUUAGCAAAAACACAGGUCUGUGCGAAGCCGUAAGGCGAAGUAUACGGGCUGACGCCUGCCCGGUGCUGGAAGGUUAAGGGGAGUGGUUAGCCGCAAGGCGAAGCUAUGAACCGAAGCCCCAGUAAACGGCGGCCGUAACUAUAACGGUCCUAAGGUAGCGAAAUUCCUUGUCAGGUAAAUUCUGACCCGCACGAAUGGCGUAACGACUUGGGCGCUGUCUCAACGAGAGAUCCGGUGAAAUUUUAAUACCUGUGAAGAUGCAGGUUACCCGCGACAAGACGGAAAGACCCCAUGGAGCUUUACUGCAGCUUGAUAUUGGACUUUGGUACGAUCUGUACAGGAUAGGUGGGAGCCUUGGAAGCCGGAGCGCCAGCUUCGGUGGAGGCAUCGUUGGGAUACCACCCUGAUCGUAUCGGAGUUCUAACCUGGUACCGUGAUCCGGUACAGGGACCGUGUCAGGUGGGCAGUUUGACUGGGGCGGUCGCCUCCUAAAAUGUAACGGAGGCGCCCAAAGGUUCCCUCAGAAUGGUUGGAAAUCAUUCGUAGCGUGCAAAGGCAUAAGGGAGCUCGACUGCGAGACCUACAAGUCGAGCAGGGACGAAAGUCGGGCUUAGUGAUCCGGUGGUACCGCAUGGAAGGGCCAUCGCUCAACGGAUAAAAGCUACCCUGGGGAUAACAGGCUUAUCUCCCCCAAGAGUCCACAUCGACGGGGAGGUUUGGCACCUCGAUGUCGGCUCAUCGCAUCCUGGGGCUGAAGUAGGUCCCAAGGGUUGGGCUGUUCGCCCAUUAAAGCGGUACGCGAGCCGGGUUCAGAACGUCGUGAGACAGUUCGGUCCCUAUCUGUCGUGGGCGUAGGAAAUUUGAGAGGAGCUGUCCUUAGUACGAGAGGACCGGGAUGGACGCACCGCUGGUGUACCAGUUGUUCCGCCAGGAGCAUAGCUGGGUAGCUACGUGCGGACGGGAUAAGCGCUGAAAGCAUCUAAGCGUGAAGCCCCCCUCAAGAUGAGAUUUCCCAGUAUGUAAGACCCCUGGAAGACGACCAGGUUGAUAGGUUCGAGGUGGAAGCGCAGCAAUGCGUGGAGCUGACGAAUACUAAUCGGUCGAGGGCUUAUCU
rnacentral:rRNA from 1 species